rnacentral:rRNA from 1 species
GUGCCAGCGGCCGCGGGUUUUCCAGCUCCAAUAGCGUAUAUUAAAGUUGUUGUGGCUAAAAAGCUCGUAGUUGAACCUUGGGCCUGGCUGGCCGGUCCGCCUCACCGCGGGGACUGGUCCGGCCGGGCGUUUCCCUCUGUGGAACCCCAUACCCUUCACUGGCCGUCGAGGGGAAACAGGACAUUUUCUUUGAAAAAAUUAGAGUGCUCCAGGCAGGCCUAUUCUCUAAUACAUUAGCAUGGAAUAAUAAAAUAAGACGCGCGGCUCUAUUUUGUUGGUUUAUAGGACCGUAAUAAUGAUUAUUAGGAACAGUCGGGGGCAUCAGUAUUCGAUUGUCAGAGGCGAAAUUCUUGGAUCAGUGUGAAGACUAACUACUGCGAAAGCAUUUGCUCAAGGAUGUGUUCAUUAUUCAGGAACGGAAUGUUAGGGGUAUGAAGACGAUCCAGAUACCCGUCGUAGUCUCAAACCAUAAUCUAUGCCCGACUAGGGACCGGACGUUGUUAUUUCAUGACCCCGUGCGGCCCCUUACGAGGAAAUCAAAGAUGUUUGGGCUUCCAGGGGAAGAAGGGGCGCAAGGGUUGAAAAUUGAAAGAAAUUUGACGGAAGGGCACCGCCAGGGGGUGUAAGCCUGGCGGUUUAGUUUGACUUCACACGGGGAAACUCACCACGGCUCAGACAUAAUAAGAGAAUGUAAGAUUCGCGUAGGCUCUUUUCCUGUAGUUCUGUGGCUGAGGUGGCCAUAGGCCGCUCCCAAAAUAUCGGUGGUGGGAGAACUUGUACAUGCUAUAAAUUGCCGAAAAAAGCACCUAUAAACCUUUCAAACCCUUGCCAAAAAAAGCCCGCCAUGUCUCUCCUGAGCAAGUCCACCUUGAAAUUCCUGUAUAAAGGGGCACUUU